CGGCCACACCAUUAGUUGUUUCUGCAUUAUGAAAGAUAGUACACAAAUAUGUCCCUUUUUUCAACAAUGCUGGACGGUAUUGAACACAGGAAGCUGUCUUCCUAUGUAUUGGCAAUUCCUAAGCAUUGGAAUAUUCUUAUAUAAGGAAACAUUUAAGUACUGCAGUCCAGGAAAAGGUUUUGUAAAUCAGGAGUGAUCACUUUUCCAUCUACAUGGGGGUGGAAUGAUGGUCCAAGGAGGGGCUUCAGAUCCAGAAUCUUUUGUAAAGUUCUGACUUGAAACAAGCCACAUUUCAUCAUUUUUAGCCAUUUUAAUUUUUUCAAAAAUUUACCAAAAAUCCGAGUGACCCAAAGCUUUGGAAAAAAUAACAGUAUUUUUAAAUUAAAAAAAAAAAUAAAUAGUCCCGCCAAUGUGGACUUUGUGUGCCAGAUUUCAUAACUGUA